rnacentral:rRNA from 1 species
AGCGAACGCUAGCGGCGGGCCUAACACAUGCAAGUCGAGCGGGGAGCUUCGGCUCCGAGCGGCGAACGGGUGAGUAACGCGUAGGUCGCGUGCCCUCUGGUGGGGAACAACCGUGGGAAACCAUGGCUAAUACCGCCUGCGGUCCUUCGGGAUCAAAGCCUUCGGGCGCCACGGGAGCGGCCUGCGUCCCAUUAUUUAGUCCUAGUUGGUAGGGUAACGGCCUACCAAGGGUACGAUGGGUAGCUGGUCUGAGAGGAUGAUCAGCCACACUGGGACUGAGACACGGCCCAGACUCCUACGGGAGGCAGCAGUGGGGAAUAUUGCGCAAUGGGCGAAAGCCUGACGCAGCCACGCCGCGUGAGUGAUGAAGGCCUUCGGGUUGUAAAGCUCUGUCGGGAGGGACGAAGGGGGCAACCCCUGACGGUACCUCGCAAGAAAGCACCGGCUAACUCUGUGCCAGCCGCCGCCGUAAAAC